ensembl:misc_RNA
AGGGACCUGCGGCGGCUUCAGUAGCCUGCGGGAGGGGAGGCAGCGUGCUCCGGCCAUUUUCAGCUCGGGUGGAGCUAAGUUUGGAAUCUGUAACCUGGAGGGG